GGGGGUAUAGCUCCGUGGUAGAGCAUUUGACUGCAGAUCGAAUGGCCCCUGGUUCAAAUUCAGGUGCCCCCU